CUACACUGUAACGUUAGCGCCCCGUUUAUAAUCCCAUAUAUAGCAAUGAACGGUUUUUCUACAGCACAUUCAACGCGCCGUGCUCAUGCUAAAUGUGUGUUGGAGCCUGUAGCACUGAACAUACAUCCACCUCGUUUCCCGGGAUUAAACCUAGCCGUAUCCUCUUACAUCAGCCUCUUUGUCAUCAUCCGCGAAUUUCUGACUGUGCUUCAUAAAAUGAACAAAUUCAUGCAGGCCUUCAGCCGCGUGCGAAAACGCCGCUCUGCCACAAUUCAGUCUGUCUGCUCUCACUGGAUACUACAUGCUCUUCCACUGUUGCAUUGUGCAUCUUUCAUGAAUAGGAUUUGUCCUUGAAUUCCUGUGAUUUAUUCUCCCGGCAUCACUGCCGCGAUAGUAUUGUAAAGGUCAUCCAUUCCUCCAGCUGUCAUACCGCCAUCCACUCACUGGGCCAGUAUGUUUUUCUCCACUGACUGAUUGAUUUUCUUUGGUCAGGGGUGGACACCCGUCAUGGUUUAUUUUUGUCCUUUAAAAUAAAGAUCUUUGUUAUUAAUUUAGUAAUUAUUUGUUCUGUGAUUUAAAAACAGUUAUUUUUCAAUAUGAGUCAUAUAUUGAUUGUUUUCAAUCAGUGGAGUAUAAAAAUGAUUAAAAUCUAUCAUCACAAACCCCCAGACUCUAAGGGGUCAAACAGCGUGCUUGGUCCAAUACAUUUCCUAUGUAAAUGAAAAGAGAAAGUGUUUGGAGUUUUACUUUAAACAAAAUGGCUGAGACUAUUAUUAAUCUAUCAAAAUUGUUGAUAUUGUAUUCUUUUUUUAUUGAUUGAGUAAUAACCCAACUCUGUUAGCUCUAAAUAAGAUGCUUUUCCAAAUGAAAGAAUAGGAAAUCCCAAUUAACCUAAAAAUUAAUUGCUGCACAAAAUAUAAGAGUAACUUGCAGCAAAAGCCUUUUUUAACAGUACUAAUUGGAGUCACUGAUGAGUCACAGCUUCCCACAAAUCAGAUGUGUUUUCUUCCUCUAGCCGUAAGCAUGCAUUUUUUUUAAACAGCUUUUUUUCAUAAUAGUGUAUAAUUUGACCUUUUACAGACAUUUCAUUUUUUAAGUACCUUGUUAGGGAAAAAAACAAAGCAAAACAAAAAUCUGAGUGAUGUUAAGCAACUGGAUUAGCAGUUCUCCACAUGCUGCAGAUUCUGUUAGAGUGGCCUUUCAACUUGCAGCUGAUCUACAGAACAGAAGGACUAUUCUCCCAACAGCUGUCCAAGGUGGUGUGGAUGGAGUAUAUAUGAGAAAGCAGGAUGAGAUCUGUUCUUGGAAGGCAGCUGAACAUUCUUGAGGGUCACUAUAACAGCAGCCUGACCAACAGUCCAGAGAAUGGUGAAAAUAUGAAACAGGAAGUCGCAAUUUUUUUCUUCUUCAAAAUAAGAGUGAGGUGGCUUGCCCUCAAAAUACCCUGUACUAGUACAGGAUGCUGUAAAUUAAAGCUGAAGUCACCUUCUGGCAUCGUUGUUCGUUGAUAAGAAGCGUCAAUAUUUAAAAUGUCUCACUGUUUACUUAGGGUGGUGUCUGCCACGCUUUGCACAAACUGUAACAUUACUCCAGGCUGAAAUUUCCCUGUUGCUACUAACGGAUGAGUAAAUAUUCUUCAUGAUUGUGUGCAGUCAUGUAUUACAAUCGUGGGUCAUGUACUGGUCCGUCCACCCAUCUUUUGCAUGAAUUAAUAGAGGGUUAUUAUGGUCCAGGUCCACGCCAGGUUGAGCAAGAAGCAAAAUGAUUCAUGCAUAAGUUAGUAUGAGCUUCAUUCACUAGUAGUGGGCUUUUAGAAGGCAGCACACAGAACGUAAGAGGUAUUUAUCUAGUUUCAUUUGUUUCAACUGCCUGUAAAAAGGCAGAUUAUUUUUAAAGCAUAUUUUCCUUGAGUGCUUGGAAUGAGUUAUAGAACAGUUUCAGUCUUAUUCAGUAAAAUUAAACCUGUGUGUGUGUGUGUGUGUGUGUGUGUGUGUGUGUGUGUGUGUGUGUGUGUGUGAGAGAGAGAGAGAGUGAGAAAGAGAGCGAGAGAGAGUGAGUGAGAGACCACAUGGGAGUAAUGUGUAGGAGCUGUCCAUACCCUAGUACUGACAACCAACCAAUAACGUUCAUCUUCUGAUGUCUGCUGACAGAGCAUUAGCCAAUCACGUUGCAGCUGAUCUGUGAUGACCUCUCUCUGCUAUUCCUGUAGUGGAAGAUGUCAGACAGGGCCAGUGCACAUGGCUAAUAGAGACAACAUCUAUGAAAAAAGGGACUGUAUAAGUUUAUGAGUUGACAUUAGGAAUGUAAUAAAGGGUGAUGUGUUUUUAUGGCUUAAGGGUGAGAUAUAAGGAGCUCUUAUGAAAGCAUGUGCCGUAGAAGAAAAAAAUGCCUCUUUUUAAUGGUUAGCUCAGUGCAAUACUUAAACCACCACACAAUAACUUUAAUCUAAUUUGCACAGUUUGCGUUUAUGUAUUUAUUUUGUGUAUUUAUCCUGCAAACCAUUAACAAGACCAAGUGCAAAUAUGAACUGAUUUCAGUUCAUAUUUGCAAAAGCAAAUGGCAAGAAUUGCAUACAGAUCUCUGGCUUGGCUGUUUUUAGUCUUGUUUGAAUAGAAGAACCGGAGGAUCCCUUUUGAUGGAUGUGCCAGGAAAUAAUUCAGACUCUGAAGGGAUGAAUGGAGACUGGUGCCCUGAUCUAAUGUCUUUGUUGGAUACUGACAGGAGACAGCUCAGUAUUGUAUAAGAAAGGUCAAAGAGUUGGUUGAAGAACUAAGAAGAGGAGGAAGAACUGAAUACAACCCUAAAUACUGUGUAAUAACAUCAGCAUCUUGCCUUUUCAACAACAAAAUGCAUUCAGUACAAUAUAAAUAUAUAUUGUAUAAAAAUAUAAAAAAAAAAAAAGGAAAAACGCCAAGAUAAUGACUUCCAUUUACUUCGGAAGUCUUAGCAGCAUGUUUCUCCUGGGACCUGAGUCAGUUGAAGUCAGAUGCACUCCUCAGCUAGAUCAUAUUAAUAUAAGUGAAUUUUUUUUCUUCAUCUCAGUUCCUUGGCCCUUCACAACCCAUUUCAACACAUAAUCACUUAACACACAGUUAGCAUUAUGCAAUGCAUGACUGUAAUUGCACAUGUAGUGCUUUUAUUAAGAUAACUUUGCAAACUUGUCUUUGAUAUAAAAUUGUUUAGCAUGACAUAUGCAGCAUCAUAUUGUUUUGAAUAAAGUCUGGUUAAAAACACAUGCAUGGGUUUCUGUAUUUGUUGUUGCAGCUCAAAUUUGGGUUUGAAAUUAAUAAACAAGCACUUCUCUCGUUUUGAUCGGUGAUAGCACGUCCAGUCUAAUGUGGUAAUAUCUGGACUACAGUCUUUGGUUAUUACAUCUGGUGUGCUGUGUGACAGAACUGGUUUGUUAUCACUUCAAAUGAAAACACUUAUCUUCCUAAAUAUAUUAAAACCUUAGAUGCGAUCCAGUGCAAUGAAUAAAACCUGCUGUAUGUCAAAAUUGCCUGAUGCAUGUUAAGAUUGCAGUGUUCCUUACUAUCCAUAAAAGACACGUUGUUAUUAUUCAGUGUUAUACACACACCUUCAACCUGCUGACUCAGUCUGCACUUCCACAAACGUCAUCAUUUCUCAUUAGCAUGCAGAUUGUUUAGAACCUUAUGUUCUGUUUUUUGAAAAUUCCCUUGUGUGGAUAGCAUCCCCAUGGGUCUCUGCUCUUUUGAUGGAUCUCUGGUGAUUUUGCUUUGGACUGAUAACACGGGCUGCACAGUCGUAGAAUACUGCAGGGAAUGAAUAAUGAAAAUUUUGUGUGUGGUCUGACUGUUAAUGUUUCUUCUAGAAUUUGCUUCAUUUGCUGUUGCUUUAUAAACUUAUUUUUAGAGGAAAAUAAUAAUUUUUAGACUCUGCCUUUAUGAAAUGUUUAUGAAUAUUACUUUUAACAGUAGCAUUGCUUCUUUUUAGCUAACCAUUUGCCUUUCAGUUCAGAAGUAUCCUGGCUCACUGACUAUCUUGAAGAUCAUGUUUCUGGAACUCGAUAAGUUGGGGAGAUAGCUGUCUUCCAUCACAGUUUCAUGUUACUUAUUCAGUCCAAGUGCAGCCUUCUCCAUUGUUUCUGAGUUCUCAUGCCCUAUUAUGGUACAGAUGAGACCAGUAGAUGGACUGGAUUAAAGAAUUAUGUUGCAUCAGUGGUUCCGACCAAAAUGAGGAGAAAGAUCUGGGAUUAGUAGUGAGUCAACUUUUAAAAUAUGAGCAAGGGACCACACUAAAAAGUUAAUUUAUUAUGCUGGAAAUCUGUGAAAAUAAUAAUAAAAAUUCAAAAAUUAUUUAGCAACUGUACUUGGGCAACCACCUGAACAACUAAAGUUAAAGUGUGUGAAAUGUUACCUAGCUUGUUUUCAUUUUUCUCUUGAAAAAUAAUAUAUGCAUUUGUGUGCAUUCUCUUAUGCAACUUUUAAAAAGAUUCAUCAUUCAAAGCAGUGCAGAUGAUGUGAGAGAGAUCCUUGAUGAGAAACCAAUUCAGUAUUUUUUUUCAAUAAAUUAUUUUUAGGUAUUAGAGACACCUUUUUGUGUUUUUUAGAUGAUUUCCUGUUUCCUGAAUUGCAUCUGUAGCUAUAAGUAAAUGGAUGCUGCUUCCUUUGUAACAAGAGCAGCACAUGGUGAUGCUAAUCAUUCUUGACCAUGUUAACCAAGAAUGUGCUUCAGGCUUGAUGUUUGUUCGGCCUGUUUUCUUCUCACCACUGGUGAGGCGAGGUAGAGAUAUGUGCUGACUCCUCGGGAACUGAUGUCUGCCUGGGGUGUUGCUGCAAUUUUGUUUCGCUUUCAGUUUUUAUUAGGGUGCCAGUAAAAAGCUUUAAUACAAGCGAAAGCAGCUCAUAUUACAGCUAUUUUGUGUUUCUGUGUAUGUGUGAUUUUGCAAGCCUGUGAAAAUAAAUGACCCUAAUUUAAAACGCAUGUGUUAGUUUAAUAAUUGGCUAAAAUAUACCUUAUUUUGUUCAAGCUAGAAAUGCAAAGACUGAACAUUGGUAUGGGUGAGAUCAACCCAACUGGCUGCCUUGUCAUUUCUUCAACAGACCCUCUGUUAGCGUGGCCAUGUAAAUCACCAGCUUCUGUAGGUGUAAUAUGUAGGUGGCCCAGUACUUUUUGUCCAUAUAAUGGAUACCUUUGGUUAAAAUGUACAUUUAGAAAAUAACACAUUAAGCCCAAAUUAUAAACCACUAACACAAAAAUAUAUUUCUACAGAAUUUUCAGUCUUCAAUUUUUUACUUUUUACAAUCGUUUUGAAAAAUCUUUUCAAAACUGCACUAACAUUAGUUUUUAGUUGGUGGACUUUCUGUUCCCCAUUUCCUCUGGUGAAUUGAAGCUUUUCUUGAGUGGUGACAUACAUGAGGGAAUAUGGAAUGAAUGCAGUUGGACUACAUUUCUUCUCGCUGUAGUUACAAGAAUGUGUGUCUUUUUCACUUUGUACUUGAUGAUGUGUGUUCCAAUGAAAACAAAAUUAGGCCCCAUAGAUAACAUACUGGUGAUGCAAUCCUCAGACUAAAGGUUGAAAGCCAUCCUUUCUUUAAAAAAACAAACUACUGCUACUUAAAUGUUAUCAUUUAUAAAUCGAACAACUUUUGUCCAUUAUGUAGUAACAAUUACAGCUUCAACGUGAUGGUUGUGUGAUAAUGUCAAUUAUUGCACAACAAAUGUGCAACACAAACUCCUUAAAGUAAGUAUGACUUUUGGACAUGCUGCUAAGUGACCUGUAAGUGCAUCUUGGAGAUUCUUGGAUGAUGACUGGUUAUUAUGUAAUAUAGCUAGAUUAUAUUCACUGCAACUUGUGGUAUUUUUUUUCUUACUUUCUCUUUUUCUGCUUUUCUGCUCGUCUGCUCUUUGGCAAAGUUACUCCUUUUACUCUCUAUAGGGUACAGAAAGUGCUGCCAAGGAGUUAACUGUCCUGAACUAAACUAAAAUAUUGCAAGUGUGCGCACAGAUACACAGUUCUGUGCUGUGUAUAUAGUUGCAUAUGUCUUUGUGACAUAGCAUACACACACACAGUUAGACACCAGCUCACUGUCACAGGCAUGCAGACUCAUCCUCAGACUGCAAGCACAGGAUUACAUAAGACAUGAAAUCUCCUGGAGAAGCUAAUACAGAUCCAAGUCUCACAGCAGGUUAUCCAGCAGCUUUAUACGACACUGUUAGUGGGGGAGGGGAUGGCCAAUAGGAUCACCAUUCUUAUUAUAAUGUGCAAUGUACUGAAGAUGUUGGUACAUAGGUCAACAAAAACCAAAAACUUAAGGUGUUAGGAUAUGCUGGCAUACUUCAACUUAAUGUUUAGACCUAAUCGUUUACUAUAAAACUGUAUUUGGGCUGGAUGGCUUGGCUCUCUUGCCUAUAUGUCAUGUUUGAAGUUAGACUACUCAACUUUUAUAGGCUAAAAGACCAUUUUCAUUUGAAUCUUUAUGGUGGUGAUAAUGUUGUGAGAGCACAUCUCUGGAGCUGUGGUUUGUUGGUUCCAUCCUCAGUAUUCUCUCAAAAAUAAAUUCUCUUUUUAUUUAUUUCUCUUUUCAUUUAGCAGCAGUGCAAAAUGAGCCAACACCCAGCGUCUGAAUCUGUAAUAAUGGUUACGCACCAGAGGGAGAGGGAGCGUGAUGCUUUCCUGACUUAACUGAGCAGCUCUUGUAGACUGCACUCAUUGUACACAGUUUUACAUAGAGAGCCGGCUCUGCAGUCAUAGAUUUCACCUUAUUUUAAUGUUUUUUACCACUAAGCUAGUGCUUCUUAUGCUCAUUUAGGUGAAUGCAGCUGCCAGCCUUGCUGCAAGAAAGAAAUCUCUGCUGAUUCUGUUACUGCUUCAUGCUGAUCCUUCCCAAAAGAGCUCUGACUUUGUAGUUUUUUAUUUGUGCUGCCUCGGCCCACUUUGACAAACAGCAGAGUCAGGCUAUUUGCCACAACCCUUUAACAUAUUGCACAAGUAGUUUUUACCUUGUGCAGUUUACUAUCUUAAUUUAUUUAUUAAAUUAUAUUUUAGGAGGCAUUAUGACAUACUUCGAGGACUGAGGAAACUUUAGAGAGAACUGAACAGAAAACUGUGAUAAGGAGUCUUAAAAUAUAUAAUCUUUACAAGCACAUGCACAAAGUGAGUCAGGUCUUAAAAACAUGAGUGAAAGAAGCAACAAAUCACUCAUGACAGGUUCUAAUGUGAGGGUGAGUAACACUGGCUAAUAUUAGGCUAUUUAUAUUGGUUUUUUUCCUGCAACCAACGAAGUAAUCGCAUUUUGGCAAAAUAAGAAUUUUCUUAUUCAGCUAACAUUUGGUCAUCUGUUACAGGGUAGUGCUGGGCUUGUUUUAUGGUACUGCCGUUGUGAUCAUUUGUAUAGGAAUUUGCUUAUGGAGAGCCUAUGAACAGGGGUUUUCAGCCUAUGCAAAUGUGGAUGACACUGUGUGUAGGUCGAAUGCUGAUUGUUGGACAAGGGAGCAGGGACAGCAAAGAUAAAAACUUGAAAGAUUAAGAAAUGAAAAUCACAAAUGGUGACUGCAGUGGACACUUGAUUGUUGUUAAUACUGGGUCUUUGUAUGUAGGACUUUGCAGCUGGCUGAAGGACUAAAAACAAUGAAAGAGUUGCCCACAAACAAGUUGAACCACAUACUUUGAAUACUGCCUCCAACAGAUGCGAUCUGCUGGUGGAUUGACUCUCAGUAGGUGCCUACGGUUUGCCAGUGUACUGGACGCGGACAAUCAUCAAGAGGCUACUGUAGUUUCUAUGUAAAUUUCAUCAUCAGAUGGUCAGUGCGAGGCUCUGAGUGAACAUCACCUGACCAUCUGUCUCUGAUCGCUAUUUGUGACAGUGUGGACGUGUUAGUGGAGACUACAGAGCACCAAAUGUGCAUGCACCCUUAAGGUGGACUUCAGUCAGACUUCAAAGAAUUAACACUACGGCUACUACUUUGUUGUGUUGUCUCCAGGAGCCCAUGUCUGUUCAACAGAGUAUAAUUGUUAUUUAGUGUUUACAAACUAAAUUAUUAUACAGUAGACUUCUUGAUCAUCAUACUGGUGUUUGAGCAAAAACAAAUAUAAGCUAAAUAUAAAUUAAAUGAAUUAUUAAAAAAAUAAAUAAAAUGUAAAACUCUGCUGAUGAUGAAGUAAUCUGUUGCAAUAGUUGGUCCUUAGGCUCUAAAAUUAUUUUAAAAAUGUAACUUGUUUGUUGUCUCGAAUUUAUUGACACAAUGUUCACCUUGGUUUAAGUAAGUGAUUUUGCUGUUUUAAAUUUGUGUUGUGUGGAUUUACAUACUUAACAUUUAGGUGGUAUAUAGAUGGCAUUGUGAGCAUUGCCUAGCAUCCCUUCAUUCAAGCAUGGCAACGCAAUUACUGAAAAAGUUGCAUGCUAGUGCAAUAUUUGUCACCUGCUGGUUGAAAGAGAGCGCUAACAACAGAAAAAGAGUGCAGUGAGUUUUGGUUAGGAGGAAGAAUCAUUACUAAAUCUUUGUUCUCACUCUUUACAAAACUUUAAUUUUGCAUUUCACAUUUAAUGUUAAUGGACCAAGAAAAUCUGCAUUAUGCUUUUGAAAUACGUUUGCAACCAUCUAUGGAGUGACAGGAUGCGUGACUGCACCUUUUCCCAACCUUAUAAACAAUAUUUUUUCAUAUUGACCAAAACUACCACCAGUGACUACCAAUGGGCCUUGCAAAGUGCAAUCAGUUUCAUGAUCAUUAUUAUGGAAAUUCUAAUUACCAUUGAUCAAUGGAAAUGUCUGCACAUUACCGUUACAGUUGGGGGAAUGGCUGCAAUCACAAUACUGUAAGAUGGUGAAAGAUAUAUCGUUAGAGAUGGUUGUUCCCUUUUCAUGUAAAUGGCCUCCUUGAAUCCCCACUCAAACCAGUGUUCCUUCUUGUUCAGGGUGUGCAUACCCUCAUCAUUUAAAGAAUAAUGAUGCAGUAGCUCUUCUGUGUUGUGCCAUCUGCUUAUCCAGAGGUGGUUUGGUUUCCCCGAUGUGUAAUUCACAGCAAUCUUCUUGGCACUUCACCACGUACGCUAUAUUAUUCUGUUUGUGCUGGAGGACCCGAUCCGUCAGGUGGACCAGUUGUUGGCAUAGCGUGUCGUGGGGUUUGACAGCUACAGAGACCGUGUUUUGACAAAAUGCGUCUCAGCUGUUCUGUUAAAGGUUUUCGUUUAGGCAGCAGUUGUCUUUCUUCUCUCCUGGAUCGCCUGGAGCAUUCUUUAGGUGCUUUCCCAGCUUUGACAAAUGUCCAGCUGGGAUAACCACACUUACUCAGGGCCUUUUUGUAAUGGUGUCCUUCUGAUUCCCUGGCCGCUGUGGCUGUGGGGAUGAUCAGAGUCAAACAUUUCUCCCCCUGAAAACGAUAUGUCCAGAUGAACAGAAUCGACUCUCUGGAGUAAUCAAAAUUUAUGAGAGAAUAAACUGAAAAUUCCCCUGGAGUUUGUGCUUGUCUGGCUUGUAAUACACUGCAAAUCAGAAUCAGAGGAACUUUAUUAAUCCCAGAGGGAAAUUGAGUUGUCAGGGCAGCAAAUAUACAAACAAACAAACAAACAAACAAACAAACAAACAAAAAAACCAACCAGCACUCAUAUAAAAUGAGUGUAGAAACAGAGUUAUGAUAAGUAUUAAGA